rnacentral:rRNA from 1 species
GUGAGGAAUAUUGGUCAAUGGGCGAGAGCCUGAACCAGCCAAGUCGCGUGAAGGAAGAAGGAUCUAUGGUUCGUAAACUUCUUUUGCAGGGGAAUAAAGUGCGGGACGUGUCCUGUUUUGUAUGUACCCUGAGAAUAAGGAUCGGCUAACUCCGUGCCAGCAGCCGCGGUAAUACGGAGGAUCCGAGCGUUAUCCGGAUUUAUUGGGUUUAAAGGGUGCGUAGGUGGUGUGAUAAGUCAGCGGUGAAAGUUUGCAGCUUAACUGUAAAAAUGCCGUUGAAACUGUCGGACUUGAGUGUAAAUGAGGUAGGCGGAAUGCGUGGUGUAGCGGUGAAAUGCAUAGAUAUCACGCAGAACUCCGAUUGCGAAGGCAGCUUACUAAGCUACAACUGACACUGAAGCACGAAAGCGUGGGGAUCAAACAGGAUUAGAUACCCUGGUAAUCC